UUAAGCGACUAAGCGUACACGGUGGAUGCCCUGGCAGUCAGAGGCGAUGAAGGACGUGCUAAUCUGCGAAAAGCGUCGGUAAGGUGAUAUGAACCGUUAUAACCGGCGAUGUCCGAAUGGGGAAACCCAGUGCAAUUCGUUGCACUAUCGUUAACUGAAUACAUAGGUUAACGAGGCGAACCGGGGGAACUGAAACAUCUAAGUACCCCGAGGAAAAGAAAUCAACCGAGAUUCCCCCAGUAGCGGCGAGCGAACGGGGAGCAGCCCAGAGUCUGAAUCAGCUUGUGUGUUAGUGGAACGGUCUGGAAAGUCCGACGGUACAGGGUGAUAGUCCCGUACACCAAAAUGCACAGGCUGUGAACUCGAAGAGUAGGGCGGACACGUGGUAUCCUGUCUGAAUAUGGGGACCAUCCUCCAAGGCUAAAUACUCUGACUGACCGAUAGUGAACCAGUACCGUGAGGGAAAGGCGAAAAGAACCCCGGCGAGGGAGUGAAAAGAACCUGAAACCGUGUACGUACAAGCAGUGGGAGCACCUUCGGGUGUGACUGCGUACCUUUGUAUAAUGGGUCAGCGACUUAUAUUCUGUAGCAAGGUUAACCGUAUAGGGAGCCGCAGGGAAACCGAGUCUUAACUGGGCGUUAAGUUGCAGGGUAUAGACCCGAAACCCGGUGAUCAGCCAUGGGCAGGUUGAAGGUUGGGUAACACUAACUGGAGGACCGAACCGACUAAUGUUGAAAAAUUAGCGGAUGACUUGUGGCUGGGGUGAAAGGCCAAUCAAACCGGGAGAUAGCUGGUUCUCCCGAAAGCUAUUUAGGUAGCGCCUCGUGAACUCAUCUUCGGGGUAGAGCACUGUUUCGGCUAGGGGUCAUCCGACUUACCAACCCGAUGCAAACUACGAAUACCGAAGAAUGUUAUCACGGGAGACACACGGCGGGUGCUAACGUCCGUCGUGAAGAGGAAACAACCCAGACCGCCAGCUAAGGUCCCAAAGUCAUGGUUAAGUGGGAAACGAUGUGGGAAGGCACAGACAGCCAGGAUGUUGGCUUAGAAGCAGCCAUCAUUUAAAGAAAGCGUAAUAGCUCACUGGUCGAGUCGGCCUGCGCGGAAGAUGUAACGGGGCUAAACCAUGCACCGAAGCUGCGGCAGCGACACUAUGUGUUGUUGGGUAGGGAGCGUUCUGUAAGCCUGCGAAGGUGUGCUGAGGCAUGCUGGAGGUAUCAGAAGUGCGAAUGCUGACAUAAGUAACGAUAAAGGGGUGAAAAGCCCGCUCGCCGGAAGACCAAGGGUUCCUGUCCAACGUUAAUCGGGGCAGGGUGAGUCGACCCCUAAGGCGAGGCCGAAAGGCGUAGUCGAUGGGAAACAGGUUAAUAUUCCUGUACUUGGUGUUACUGCGAAGGGGGGACGGAGAAGGCUAUGUUAGCCGGGCGACGGUUGUCCCGGUUUAAGCAUGUAGGCUGAUUGUCCAGGCAAAUCCGGAUAAUCAAGGCUGAGGUGUGAUGACGAGGCACUACGGUGCUGAAGUAACAAAUGCCCUGCUUCCAGGAAAAGCCUCUAAGCAUCAGGUAACAUUAAAUCGUACCCCAAACCGACACAGGUGGUCAGGUAGAGAAUACCAAGGCGCUUGAGAGAACUCGGGUGAAGGAACUAGGCAAAAUGGUGCCGUAACUUCGGGAGAAGGCACGCUGGUGUGUAGGUGAAGUCCCUGCGGAUGGAGCUGAGACCAGUCGAAGAUACCAGCUGGCUGCAACUGUUUAUUAAAAACACAGCACUGUGCAAACACGAAAGUGGACGUAUACGGUGUGACGCCUGCCCGGUGCCGGAAGGUUAAUUGAUGGGGUUAUCCGUAAGGAGAAGCUCUUGAUCGAAGCCCCGGUAAACGGCGGCCGUAACUAUAACGGUCCUAAGGUAGCGAAAUUCCUUGUCGGGUAAGUUCCGACCUGCACGAAUGGCGUAAUGAUGGCCAGGCUGUCUCCACCCGAGACUCAGUGAAAUUGAACUCGCUGUGAAGAUGCAGUGUACCCGCGGCAAGACGGAAAGACCCCGUGAACCUUUACUAUAGCUUGACACUGAACAUUGAGCCUUGAUGUGGAUAGGUGGGAGGCUUUGAAGCGUGGACGCCAGUCUGCGUGGAGCCAACCUUGAAAUACCACCCUUUAAUGUUUGAUGUUCUAACGUUGGCCCCUGACCGGGGUUGCGGACAGUGUCUGGUGGGUAGUUUGACUGGGGCGGUCUCCUCCCAAAGCGUAACGGAGGAGCACGAAGGUUAGCUAAUCCUGGUCGGACAUCAGGAGGUUAGUGCAAUGGCAUAAGCUAGCUUGACUGCGAGCGUGACGGCGCGAGCAGGUGCGAAAGCAGGUCAUAGUGAUCCGGUGGUUCUGAAUGGAAGGGCCAUCGCUCAACGGAUAAAAGGUACUCCGGGGAUAACAGGCUGAUACCGCCCAAGAGUUCAUAUCGACGGCGGUGUUUGGCACCUCGAUGUCGGCUCAUCACAUCCUGGGGCUGAAGUAGGUCCCAAGGGUAUGGCUGUUCGCCAUUUAAAGUGGUACGCGAGCUGGGUUUAGAACGUCGUGAGACAGUUCGGUCCCUAUCUGCCGUGGGCGCUGGAGAAUUGAGGGGGGCUGCUCCUAGUACGAGAGGACCGGAGUGGACGCAUCACUGGUGUUCGGGUUGUCAUGCCAAUGGCACUGCCCGGUAGCUAAAUGCGGAAGAGAUAAGUGCUGAAAGCAUCUAAGCACGAAACUUGCCCCGAGAUGAGUUCUCCCUGAGACUUUAAGUCUCCUGAAGGAACGUUAAAGACGAUGACGUUGAUAGGCCGGGUGUGUAAGCGCAGCGAUGCGUUGAGCUAACCGGUACUAAUGAACCGUGAGGCUUAACCU
rnacentral:rRNA from 1 species